AUGGUGCUCGACCUGUUCGGCCUCAUGGGGGCCUACGCCGCCGGGAGCUGCCGGGACAAGUUCACCACCAUCUACUCCUCGCUGCUGGUCUCGGCCGUCUUUGCCUACAUCACGCGCAUCUUCGUCAUCUACGCCUUCCGGCGGAUGCAGGUGAGGGUGCUGACCAAGAGAACGCAAGGCAAGGGUGACCCCAAGAAGCAACAUGAACAGCAAGACAAGGAGGAGGUGCAGGCCGGUGACCUGGAGAAGCAAAACAAGGAGAAGGAGCACGAUGCCAACAGGCGCGCCGAGGAGCAUGAUGUACUGAUGCUUCUAGCGACCUUCGUCGUCGCCAUCACGUAUGUGGCCGGGCUGGGCCCACCCGGCGGGUUCUGGGGCAGCACCCAGGACGGACACCACGUGAGCGACCCGGUCAUGCAGGAGCACUACUCCGCCCGGUACCAGGCCUUCUUCGUGUGCAACACCACCGCCUUCGUCGCUUCCCUCCUCAUCAUCGUACUGCUCAUGAACAAGGAGCUCAGCGAGGCUAUGACCGAAGCCAACAAGGCUAUCACCAGAGCCAACAAGGCUUUCUCUGGAGAGAUCUUCUCUAAAAGUUUCAUCGCGCUCUACGGGUUCAUCGCCCUGGCACUCACCGGACUCGUGGGGGCCUAUGCUGCAGGAAGCUGCAGGGAGCCUGAUGCUACCAUCUAUGUGGUUUGCCUGGCUGGCGCGGUUCUUGCAUACAUAUUUCUACAGGUGGCUAUUCCUAGAGCCAUGGGGAAGGAGUAUUGCGUCUAUAAUCCUUCAGGAUGGCUCAUGAAAAUAUAUGGCAUGUUGAACAGGGACAGUGGUGCGCAACAAGAUGACAAAUUAUUGGAAAAGAAUCGCUCUCUUGUCAUGUUGCUUGCUACUCUCGUGGUGAGCAUCACUUACUCAGCAGGACUGGAUCCACCUGGCGGCCUCUGGCCAGAUGACCGGGAUGGGCACAAGGGCGGCGACCCGGUACUCCUCACAACCCAUCCCACUCGGUACAAGGUGUUCUUCUAUAGCAACUCAGCCGCCUUCGUGACAUCCUUGGUGGUCAUCAUAAUGGUCCGGUGUCAAUUUCUACUCCGGCGCCAUAUAUUGCAUGCAGCCAUGAUACUGGAUUUGUUUGGCCUCAUCACUGCAUACUCCGCAGGGAGCGGCAGAGAUUUAGCCACAUCCAUAUAUGUUGUCGCCCUGGCAGGUGCCGUCCUUGUGUAUGUGGUGAUUCAUAUAGUGUUCUUCACACUAGAAGAUAACAUCGAUCACCAAGACGCCGAUAAGUUGGAUAAGAGGCGUGACAUGCUGCUGCUGCUUGCCAUCUUGGCUGCAACACUGACUUACCAAGCUGGGCUCACCCCACCAGGUGGCUUCUGGUCAGCCGAUGACAAGUUUGGUCAUCAUGCGGGGUUCCCGGUCUUCCUUGAUAACUACCCACGCCGUUACAGUGCAUUCUUCUACUGCAAUGCAGCAAGCUUCAUGGCAUCUGUGACUCUCAUAGUUCUUCUGGUGAACCCCACCCUAUACAAGCCGGGCAUAAGGUGUUACGCACUCUAUGUGUGCACGGUGGUGGGCAUGUUUGGCCUCAUGGGUGCCUAUGCUGCUGGAAGCUCCCGCCAUCUGCGAACCUCCAUCUAUGUGUUCAUUUUAGUUGCUGCAGUGCUUGCAUUCUUGACCAUCCAGGUGGUCAUAAGUUAUAAAGGGAGGCCCACGUCUGCUCCAGUAAAAGUGUCCUCUGGGCAAGAAGGCAGCACCAGUGAGUCUUCCGGGAAAGUGGACACUGCCAGCCACACAGACACAGGAACAGAAGUAAAGAACCUUCGUGAGUACUUGAUGCCGAUAGGAGUCUUGGCUGCGAGUGUAACAUACCAGACUGGCCUGAAACCACCAGGUGGCCUCUGGCAGGACAACAACAACGGGCAUACUGCAGGCAACUCAAUCCUACAUGACACCGACAGAGGCCGGUACCGUGCUUUCUUCUAUAGCAACUCCACUUCGUUCAUGGCUUCUAUUGUCGUCAUUGUGUUGCUACUUCCAUGGAAAGGCCUCAACUUGCCACUGGGGCGAAUGUAUGCAGCCAUUUUGCUAGACAUGCUAGGCCUUCUUGUGGCCUAUGCAGCUGGCAGCACCAGGGAAUGGGAGACGUCCAGCCUUGUCAUCGCUCUCGUCGUUCCUGUGCUGGCCUACAUUGCAGCCUAUGCAGCAGUGUUGUUGUUCCCCAACAAGUGCCCAUGUGGCAACAGCCAGACCAACAGAGAUUCCGCAUGA
rnacentral:rRNA from 1 species